CCUACGGGGGGCAGCAGUGGGGAAUAUUGGGCAAUGGGCGCAAGCCUGACCCAGCAACGCCGCGUGAAGGAAGAAGGCUUUCGGGUUGUAAACUUCUUUUCUUUGGAACGAAUAAAUGACGGUACCAAAGGAAUAAGCCCCGGCUAACUACGUGCCAGCAGCCGCGGUAAUACGUAGGGGGCAAGCGUUGUUCGGAAUGACUGGGCGUAAAGGGUGUGUAGGUGGUUUGAUAAGUUAGAUGUGUAAUACCCAGGGCUUAACUCGGGUGCUGCAUCUAAAACUGUUAGACUUGAGUACUGGAGAGGAUAGUGGAAUUCCUAGUGUAGCGGUGGAAUGCGUAGAUAUUAGGAGGAACAUCAGUGGCGAAGGCGACUAUCUGGACAGCAACUGACACUGAGGCACGAAAGCGUGGGGAGCAAACAGGAUUAGAUACCCUUGUAGUC
rnacentral:rRNA from 1 species